GAUGAAGAACGUAGCGAAAUGCGAUAAGUAAUGUGAAUUGCAGAAUCCAGUGAAUCAUCGAAUCUUUGAACGCACAUUGCGCCCGCCAGCAUUCUGGCGGGCAUGCCUGUUCGAGCGUCAUUUCAACCCUCGAUCUCCCUUUGGGGAAGUCGGCGUUGGGGACCGGCAGCACACCGCCGGCCCUGAAAUGGAGUGGCGGCCCGUCCGCGGCGACCUCUGCGUAGUAAACCAACUCGCACCGGAACCCCGACGUGGCCACGCCGUAAAACACCCAACUUCUGAACGUUGACCUCGAAUCAGGUAGGACUACCCGCUGAACUUAAGCAUAUCAAUAAGCGGAGGA
rnacentral:misc_RNA from 1 species